rnacentral:lncRNA from 1 species
CUAUUAUCGCAGUUUUCUUAUUUUAAAAAAAUAUGUAAUUUUUGUUUUGUUCAUGAAAAGCGUCUGUAAACUGGGUCAAAACAACUGUAAGAAUAAACUUUGGUCCACGUGUCAUCCUUUCACGUCUAUGGUUGCGAUCCCAAGGUUCAUUGCGAUCCCAAGGUUCACUGCCGUUUUCCAC